GAUGAACGCUGGCGGCGUGCCUAAUACAUGCAAGUCAAGCGAACGGACGAGAAGCUUGCUUCUCUGAUGUUAGCGGCGGACGGGUGAGUAACACGUGGAUAACCUACCUAUAAGACUGGGAUAACUUCGGGAAACCGGAGCUAAUACCGGAUAAUAUUUUGAACCGCAUGGUUCAAAAGUGAAAGACGGUCUUGCUGUCACUUAUAGAUGGAUCCGCGCUGCAUUAGCUAGUUGGUAAGGUAACGGCUUACCAAGGCAACGAUGCAUAGCCGACCUGAGAGGGUGAUCGGCCACACUGGAACUGAGACACGGUCCAGACUCCUACGGGAGGCAGCAGUAGGGAAUCUUCCGCAAUGGGCGAAAGCCUGACGGAGCAACGCCGCGUGAGUGAUGAAGGUCUUCGGAUCGUAAAACUCUGUUAUUAGGGAAGAACAUAUGUGUAAGUAACUGUGCACAUCUUGACGGUACCUAAUCAGAAAGCCACGGCUAACUACGUG
rnacentral:rRNA from 1 species